rnacentral:sRNA from 1 species
UCAUAGCCCCGAUAGCAGCGGUUACCCCACAGCAGCUAUGGCUUUAGGCAGGAGCGAGGAGUAUGAGCGGAUAGCGGGAAACAGC